ACACUCCUGCGGGAGGCAGCAGUGGGGAAUUUUACGCAAUGGGGGAAACCCUGACGUAGCGACACCGCGUGAGCGAAGAAGCCCUUUGGGGUGUAAAGCUCUGUCAGCUGGAACGAAAACAAUGACGGUACCAGCAGAGGAAGCAUCGGCUAACUACGUGCCAGCAGCCGCGGUAAGACGUAGGAUGCGAGCGUUGUCCGGAUUUAUUGGGCGUAAAGAGUUCGUAGGUGGUUUGUUAAGUUUGGUGUUAAAGAUCGGGGCUCAACCCUGGGACUGCACUGAAUACUGGCAGACUCGAGUGUGGUAGAGGCUAGUGGAAUUCCCAGUGUAGCGGUGAAAUGCGUAGAUAUUGGGAAGAACACCGGUGGCGUAGGCGACUAGCUGGGCCAUAACUGACGCUGAGGAACGAAAGCCAGGGGAGCGAAUGGGAGUAGAAACCCGAGUAGUCCCAUGAU
rnacentral:rRNA from 1 species